GACGAACGCUGGCGGCGUGCCUAAUACAUGCAAGUUGAGCGCUGAAGGUUGGUACUUGUACCAACUGGAUGAGCAGCGAACGGGUGAGUAACGCGUGGGGAAUCUGCCUUUGAGCGGGGGACAACAUUUGGAAACGAAUGCUAAUACCGCAUAAAAACUUUAAACACAAGUUUUAAGUUUGAAAGAUGCAAUUGCAUCACUCAAAGAUGAUCCCGCGUUGUAUUAGCUAGUUGGUGAGGUAAAGGCUCACCAAGGCGAUGAUACAUAGCCGACCUGAGAGGGUGGACGGCCCCAAUGGGACUGGGACACGGCCCAAACUCCUACGGGAGGCAGCAGUAGGGAAUCCUCGGCAAUGGAGGAAAGUCUGACCGAGCAACGCCGCGUGAGUGAAGAAGGUUUUCGGAUCGUAAAACUCUGUUGGUAGAGAAGAACGUUGGUGAGAGUGGAAAGCUCAUCAAGUGACGGUAACUACCCAGAAAGGGACGGCUAACUACGUG
rnacentral:rRNA from 1 species